GAUGAACGCUGGCGGCGUGCCUAAUACAUGCAAGUCGAGCGAACAGACGAGGAGCUUGCUCCUCUGACGUUAGCGGCGGACGGGUGAGUAACACGUGGAUAACCUACCUAUAAGACUGGGAUAACUUCGGGAAACCGGAGCUAAUACCGGAUAAUAUAUUGAACCGCAUGGUUCAAUAGUGAAAGACGGUUUUGCUGUCACUUAUAGAUGGAUCCGCGCCGCAUUAGCUAGUUGGUAAGGUAACGGCUUACCAAGGCAACGAUGCGUAGCCGACCUGAGAGGGUGAUCGGCCACACUGGAACUGAGACACGGUCCAGACUCCUACGGGAGGCAGCAGUAGGGAAUCUUCCGCAAUGGGCGAAAGCCUGACGGAGCAACGCCGCGUGAGUGAUGAAGGUCUUCGGAUCGUAAAACUCUGUUAUUCGGGAAGAACAAAUGUGUCAGUAACUAUGCACGUCUUGACGGUACCUAAUCAGAAAGCCACGGCUAACUACGUG
rnacentral:rRNA from 1 species